GACAAACCCAGCCUGCCUCUCUCCUUCCACACUGAGUAGAAACCUACAGUCACUGGGUCCUGAUUGUGACAGUGGAGCCCAGUUUGCACUGCAGGAUCUAGAGAUGGCAUCAGUGAAACUGGAAGACUGCAGUCAAACACUGGAGCUGAAUGUCAACAUUAAAGAUGAGGAAGAGGAGAAGAUUAGGAACUCUGUUAAUCAUGAAUGGACCCGACACCUAAACAUGCUGACGUCACUGCCAUGGUACACCUGGUCACCAGUGAUCAUGAGUACAUGAAGGAGCUCUGGGACCUGACGUAAUGGUGAUAGGACAACAGUCUCAGCGUAAGCAAAACAAAGUAGAUGGUGGUACUUGACCAUUCUCCCAUCUACUGUACAUUGACAUGGAGAUGAUCAGCAGCUUCAAGUUCCUGGGCACCCUGAUAUCCUUUUCUGCCCACAGUCACUUCACUCAAAAAGUCCCACUAGUGCUUCCACUACCCUCAUCAACUUGCUGCACCACGACCAAUGUACCAACUACAGUGUCUGUUUCUAUUGACAUAACACAUGUAAAUGAAAUGUCCAUAUUUACUGGAAGAUGUAUUUAUUGUAACAGUCCCUUGACAUCCAUGACUUAACUACUUUGCAUAAUGCUCAGGUUACCCACUAAGAAAUCAUACAUUUAUUAAAGCUGCAUUAUGUA